CGGGGUAAGGGCCCACCAAGGCGACGAUCAGUAGCCGGACUGAGAGGUUGAACGGCCACAUUGGGACUGAGAUACGGCCCAGACUCCUACGGGAGGCAGCAGUGGGGAAUAUUGGGCAAUGGGGGAAACCCUGACCCAGCAACGCCGCGUGAAGGAAGAAGGCCUUCGGGUUGUAAACUUCUUUUACCAGGGACGAAGGACGUGACGGUACCUGGAGAAAAAGCCACGGCUAACUAC
rnacentral:rRNA from 1 species